rnacentral:rRNA from 1 species
UACGUAGGUGGCAAGCGUUGUCCGGAUUUAUUGGGUUUAAAGGGUGCGUAGGCGGCAUUUUAAGUCAGUGGUGAAAUACUUCAGCUUAACUGGAGAGGUGCCAUUGAUACUGGGAUGCUUGAGUACUGAUGAGGUAGGCGGAAUGGACGGUGUAGCGGUGAAAUGCGCAGAUAUCGGGAGGAACACCAGUAGCGAAGGCGACACUCUGGGCCGGUACUGACGCUGAGGAGCGAAAGCGUGGGGAGCAAACAGG